rnacentral:rRNA from 1 species
UUAAAUUGAAGAGUUUGAUCAUGGCUCAGAUUGAACGCUGGCGGCAGGCCUAACACAUGCAAGUCGAACGGUAACAGAAAGCAGCUUGCUGCUUUGCUGACGAGUGGCGGACGGGUGAGUAAUGUCUGGGAAACUGCCUGAUGGAGGGGGAUAACUACUGGAAACGGUAGCUAAUACCGCAUAACGUCGCAAGACCAAAGAGGGGGACCUUCGGGCCUCUUGCCAUCGGAUGUGCCCAGAUGGGAUUAGCUUGUUGGUGGGGUAACGGCUCACCAAGGCGACGAUCCCUAGCUGG